UAGCGGAAUGCAAGUUAAACUCUUCCACUCAAAUCGAUGUCUUCUCUACUUGCCCGUCUCUGUUCCGUGAUCUCCCUCCCUGCCCAGCUCUUCCUAACGGCUCAAUGACUUUAAGCCCAAUCAAUUUUUUGAGCCCAUAAUAUAUAAUAUAUAAUAUACAUCUAUAUCCAAUAUUAUAUGCAUGAAUAUAUAUAUAUAUAUAUAUAUACGCGUGAAUUGCAUGGUGCUCACAGUUAUUAGGGGAGGUCAAAGAGCUGAAAGAUUCCACUUGUUUCCCACCUGCAUUAACAAAAUCGAGCUCAUACUUGCCUUUUAUCUGGGGACAAAGGACUUCACAAAGUCCGUGUGCAUCAAUAUUAAGAGCUCCCAUACACCUUUCUUUCCGUUCUUAUCUGUCAGAUCCGGAAGUGACGAGGCAUUGCUUGCCCUUUGUCCUGUGAUCCAUGACAUGACAGCGAAUGCAAGCGUGGAAGAAUGGAAUGCCUCAAGGUGUAUCUCUCGUCUCUAUAUACAAGAUGAAACAGGGAUCGAGGGGACUGAAUUCUUGCACUCUGAAGGUUCGAGCCAAUGAGCUUAUCUUUCUUGGAGGUUUCGAUAAGCUUCUAGCUACACAGGAGAACUUUUUGGACAUCAGGGAUCAGCUCAGAGGAUUACGUAGAAACCUUAAUUAUUAGAUAGGUAUUCUUUUUGUAUAGAAAAUAUUUGAAUAUAUAUGUUACGAGCUGAAAUUUUUAUUUAGUUGGUUUAGUGGUGUGGCUCUCUUAAAAUGUAUAUAUAUGUAUAUGAGAGUUUACUGGUUUGGUUAUAUAUUUUGAGAGUUAUGGAAAGCAAGUUUUAUAUGAAUAGUUUAUGUGAUAAUGGAUAUCGAGGAAAUAUAGGCGGAGUUCAGCUGAAAUUUCGAGUCGUGACAGUUUCCGAAAGCAUUCUCAGGUGUUUGGUGAAAGCAAGA